rnacentral:lncRNA from 1 species
GAACCACUUGUGUGGGCUGCAAGCUAAAAAGUCCACUCAAGUGUAUGUGGCCCAUAUCUUAUAAUAUGCCAAAAUCACUUAAGCGCGUGGUACCUUACCAUAUUUCGUAUAUAUAGAACCACUUGUGUGGGCUGCAAGCUAAAAAGUCCACUCAAGUGUAUGUGGCCCAUAUCUUAUAAUAUGCCAAAAUCACUUAAGCGCGUGGUACCUUACCAUAUUUCGU